GCGAGUUAUCCGCGUGUGAAUCAGUGAGCCACUGCUCUUCUUCUCCUCACCCACUGGUCCGCUUCGUUUUUCUUUCUUUCCUGUUCAUCGUUUCUGUUUGCUGGGUCUUUCUCUUCCCUUACUUCCCCAGAUACCAUAACCAACCCCAUUCAUCCCAAUUACCAAACCACCACUCAGCCAUAUUACCAACCUUCACCGCCAUCGCCGACGCCGACACUGACACUGACGCCAAGUGUCUUAUGGUCUGAGAAGCUUCCAGAGAGCGAGAGAGGACAAUCAAUCAAAUUCAAACUGAGACAAAACCCCAGAAACGC
rnacentral:misc_RNA from 1 species